AGCCCACUGAAUUGGAUACUGGGUGACGCCUGCCCCAUGACCUAUGAAAGUUAAAUGGCCGCGGUACCUUGACCGUGCUAAGGUAGCAUAAUCAUUUGGCUUUUAAUUGGAGUCUGGAAUGAACGGAUACACGUAGAGAAUCUGUCUCUAAACCUUUACCACGAACUUACUAAGUAGGUGAAAAAGCCUAUUCAAGAUAAAAGACGAGAAGACCCUUAGAGUUUAUUAGAUAAAUUAUAUGUUUUGUUGGGGCGACACAGAGUCAAGAAGAACACUCUGGAAACCGAUGCGACGGGUAUUAUCAAGUUCAGAAAAACUACCUAAGGGAUAACAGCAUAAUCUAUAUUUAGGUUUGUGACCUCGAUGUUGGACUAGGACGUCUAUUAGUUAACCGCUAAUAAGAGGAAUUCUGUUCGAAUUAUUACUCCU
rnacentral:rRNA from 1 species